rnacentral:rRNA from 1 species
UGAGGAAUAUUGGUCAAUGGGCGCAAGCCUGAACCAGCCAUCCCGCGUGCAGGAAGACGGCCCUAUGGGUUGUAAACUGCUUUUCCAGGGGGAGAAUUUUUCUGUCGUGACAGGAAUUGACGGUACCCUGGGAAUAAGCAUCGGCUAACUCCGUGCCAGCAGCCGCGGUAAUACGGAGGAUGCGAGCGUUAUCCGGAUUUAUUGGGUUUAAAGGGUGCGUAGGCGGAUUGAUAAGUCAGUGGUGAAAACCUGCAGCUUAACUGUAGACUUGCCGUUGAUACUGUCAGUCUUGAGUGUGGUCAAGGUAGGCGGAAUGUGUAAUGUAGCGGUGAAAUGCUUAGAUAUUACACAGAACACCGAUUGCGAAGGCAGCUUACUGGGCCAUUACUGACGCUGAUGC